rnacentral:rRNA from 1 species
CCAGACUCCUACGGGAGGCAGCAGUGGGGAAUAUUGCACAAUGGGGGGAACCCUGAUGCAGCGACGCCGCGUGGGCGAGGAAGUAUUUCGGUAUGUAAAGCCCUAUCGGCAGGGAAGAAGAAAUGACGGUACCUGAAGAAGAAGCCCCGGCUAACUACGUGCCAGCAGCCGCGGUAAUACGUAGGGGGCAAGCGUUAUCCGGAUUUACUGGGUGUAAAGGGGGCGCAGACGGCGAUGCAAGCCAGGAGUGAAAGCCCGGGGCCCAACCCCGGGACUGCUCUUGGAACUGCGUGGCUGGAGUGCAGGAGGGGCAGGCGGAAUUCCUGGUGUAGCGGUGAAAUGCGUAGAUAUCAGGAGGAACACCGGUGGCGAAGGCGGCCUGCUGGACUGCAACUGACGUUGAGGCCCGAAAGCGUGGGGAGCAAACAGGAUUAGAUACCCGUGUA